rnacentral:rRNA from 1 species
UACGUAGGCAGCGAGCGUUGUUCGGAGUUACUGGGCGUAAAGGGUGUGUAGGCGGUUCUCUAAGUUUGGUGUGAAAUCUCCCGGCUCAACUGGGAGGGUGCGCCGAAUACUGAGCGACUAGAGUGCGGGAGAGGAAAGUGGAAUUCCUGGUGUAGCGGUGAAAUGCGUAGAUAUCAGGAGGAACACCGGUGGUGUAGACGGCUUUCUGGACCGUAACUGACGCUGAGACACGAAAGCGUGGGUAGCAAACAGG